GACGAACGCUGGCGGCGUGCCUAAUACAUGCAAGUCGAGCGAAGUUUUUCUGGUGCUUGCACUAGAAAAACUUAGCGGCGAACGGGUGAGUAACACGUAAAGAACCUGCCUCAUAGACUGGGACAACUAUUGGAAACGAUAGCUAAUACCGGAUAACAGUAUUUCUCGCAUGAGAGAUAUUUAAAAGUUGGUUAUGCUAACACUAUGAGAUGGCUUUGCGGUGCAUUAGCUAGUUGGUGGGGUAAAGGCCCACCAAGGCGACGAUGCAUAGCCGACCUGAGAGGGUGAUCGGCCACACUGGGACUGAGACACGGCCCAGACUCCUACGGGAGGCAGCAGUAGGGAAUCUUCCGCAAUGGGCGAAAGCCUGACGGAGCAACGCCGCGUGAGUGAAGAAGGAUUUCGGUUCGUAAAGCUCUGUUGUUAGGGAAGAAUGGAUAUGUAGUAACUAUACAUGUAAGAGACGGUACUUAACCAGAAAGCCACGGCUAACUACGUG
rnacentral:rRNA from 1 species